rnacentral:tRNA from 1 species
UAUAUGUUGAUGUACAGUGCAUGAAAGAUUUUGAUUCUUUGAGAUUUGGUGCGAGCCCAAGACAUAUAA